rnacentral:misc_RNA from 1 species
CUCAUUUUUGAUGAUUUUUAGUAUCGUUGUUAAUACGUUAGAUUUAUCGAGAGACGUUAUCGUUUUGUUACUGUUAUAUAGAGCAGGGAUUGGUAACAAAGGGCUCGCAGACGCCCAAGUUUUCGCAAUGCAUUUUAAAGUGCCCGCUACGGCGCCAGAUUUACCUUGGUAAGUAAUCGAACAAUGGACCUGUAUACGCACUCGAGAUAUUUUGCAUCGUGUUUAAGAGAUUGAAAAUCGGAUCGGUUAUGGG